UGGAAAGGCGCGCGAUACAGGGUGACAGCCCCGUACACAAAAAUGCACAUAUUGUGAGCUCGAUGAGUAGGGCGGGACACGUGGUAUCCUGUCUGAAUAUGGGGGGACCAUCCUCCAAGGCUAAAUACUCCUGACUGACCGAUAGUGAACCAGUACCGUGAGGGAAAGGCGAAAAGAACCCCGGCGAGGGGAGUGAAAAAGAACCUGAAACCGUGUACGUACAAGCAGUGGGAGCCUCUUAAUGGGGUGACUGCGUACCUUUUGUAUAAUGGGUCAGCGACUUAUAUUCUGUAGCAAGGUUAACCGAAUAGGGGAGCCGAAGGGAAACCGAGUCUUAACUGGGCGUUAAGUUGCAGGGUAUAGACCCGAAACCCGGUGAUCUAGCCAUGGGCAGGUUGAAGGUUGGGUAACACUAACUGGAGGACCGAACCGACUAAUGUUGAAAAAUUAGCGGAUGACUUGUGGCUGGGGGUGAAAGGCCAAUCAAACCGGGAGAUAGCUGGUUCUCCCCGAAAGCUAUUUA
rnacentral:rRNA from 1 species